rnacentral:rRNA from 1 species
CAGCAGCCGCGGUAAUACGUAGGGUGCGAGCGUUAAUCGGAAUUACUGGGCGUAAAGCGUGCGCAGGCGGUUUUGUAAGACAGGCGUGAAAUCCCCGGGCUCAACCUGGGAAUGGCGCUUGUGACUGCAAAGCUAGAGUACGGCAGAGGGGGAUGGAAUUCCGCGUGUAGCAGUGAAAUGCGUAGAUAUGCGGAGGAACACCGAUGGCGAAGGCAAUCCCCUGGGCCUGCACUGACGCUCAUGCACGAAAGCGUGGGGAGCAAACAGGAUUAGAUACCCGAGUAGUCCCUGUCUCUUAUAA